rnacentral:rRNA from 1 species
GACAGAGGCCUCGAGCGUUAGACGGAAUCACUGGGCUUAAAGCGUGUGUAGGUGGAUGCCUAAGUACCUUGUGAAAUCCCACGGCUCAACCGUGGAAUUGCUUGGUAUACUGGGUGUCUUGAGCCACUUAGGGGCAGUCGGAACAGAUGGUGGAGCGGUGAAAUGCGUAGAUAUCAUCUGGAACGCCAAUGGUGAAAACAGACUGCUGGGAGUGUGCUGACACUGAGACACGAAAGCCAGGGGAGCGAACGGG